GGGUUAAAAAUCCCAAAUUGAAAUGGGGUUAAUUUAGAAUAAAUUUAGGGGCCUUCCCCCCCU
rnacentral:tRNA from 1 species